GCUGUUGUAUGGGCGCCACACUACGCCGAGAAGCAACGCGAGGAGGUCGUGUUAUCGGCGGUUGUGAAUUUGGCUCGUGUAGUUUCGUUGUUAACUGUUCUGUGAAUGGUUUUGAGCGAAAUGCGAGGUUUCAACGACACCGAAAUUAACCAUGUCUCCUUAUUUCUACUGUGGCUGCUGCUGUCUUGCCGUGCGGAAUCCAUUCCGAAGAGGAUCGACCUGGAGAAGA